rnacentral:lncRNA from 1 species
GUCAAGCUUCUUGCAAGAGAAAAGGAUUCAAAGGAAUUUAAAGGGCUGGUCUUCCCCUUUUUCCUUCUUCACAGAAUAGCCAGUGUGAGCUGCUAGGCAAAACUCUUAGAAUUAUUACUAGAGACUGAGCUAGAUUUGAUUUACAAUUUGAAGUCAUAGAUCCCCAACGUGAUACUUGAGCAAUAUUAUUUUAGAAGUAAUACCAAUCUUGGAUGCAACACAAUAAAUAAAUAAAUAAAUUAAAUCACAUGAUCACCCAGGAUUGUCUUAUUGGGGACCAUGGGAAGUUUGUUUCUUUAAUGACACCUGCUGGAAAGUCUAAAGUGCAUUCAGGAGCUGUGCUGCAGGACAUAGUUGAUGCUCACAUAAACUUUACGUUCCCCAUAUUCUGAAGAAUAUGAGAGUCCUGUACAUGGUGUGAUAGAAUGAGAAGCAGCUAGUGGCUGCUUGGGCAGGAAAGCUGUUGACUGUGAGCACCCUUGUCGAUGAUACAAAGAGAAAGAGCAGAGAAAGGAAGCUUCAAUGUGCUUUUAAAAUAGAGAUGAACUGUAGAGUGAAGCCUAAAGUAAUGGUAAUAUCCCUGAAUCCACCAUGAGAUAUUCUGAGCAGUAUCUUAAGAAAGCACAGUGCGAAUACUUUAUUGGAGUUUGUCUUGCACACAAAUCCAAAAUGUUUCACUGCCAGAGAGACAAAAAGCCAUGCCAUGCAGCCGUAUCUCAUAAUUCUGGAGUGUCAGGUUUGGUGAAAUAUUACUGCAUAUUAUUCCUACAGACUGCAGAUAAAAGGAGCAUACUGGGAACAAGUAAAAUGUCAGAUUCUUGCUUCAGGAGCUUACAGUGGUGGUCCCACCAUCAGGUACACGGGUACAAAUUCUUUGUGCAAGAGAUGAGUCUGAUUGUUUAG